rnacentral:rRNA from 1 species
UACGUAGGGUGCAAGCGUUGUCCGGAAUUAUUGGGCGUAAAGAGCUCGUAGGCGGUUUGUCGCGUCUGCUGUGAAAACUCGGGGCUUAACUCCGGGCCUGCAGUGGGUACGGGCAGACCAGAGUGCGGUAGGGGAGACUGGAAUUCCUGGUGUAGCGGUGAAAUGCGCAGAUAUCAGGAGGAACACCGGUGGCGAAGGCGGGUCUCUGGGCCGUAACUGACGCUGAGGAGCGAAAGCGUGGGGAGCGAACAGG